UACGUAGGGACCAAGCGUUGUUCGGAUUUACUGGGCGUAAAGGGCGCGUAGGCGGCAAUUCAAGUCAUCUGUGAAAUCUCCGGGCUUAACCCGGAACGGUCAGGUGAUACUGUUUUGCUAGAGUGCGGAAGGGGCAAUCGGAAUUCUCGGUGUAGCGGUGAAAUGCGUAGAUAUCGGGAGGAACACCUGUGGCGAAAGCGGCGCACUGGACCAUAACUGACGCUGAUGCGCGAAAGCUAGGGGAGCAAACAGG
rnacentral:rRNA from 1 species